rnacentral:rRNA from 1 species
UCGAUUUGGAGUUUGUUGCCCUGAGUGAUGGGCUCCGAAGCUAACGCGAUAAAUCGACCGCCUGGGGAGUACGGCCGCAAGGUUAAAACUCAAAUGAAUUGACGGGGGCCCGCACAAGCGGUGGAGCAUGUGGUUUAAUUCGAUGCAACGCGAAGAACCUUACCUGGUCUUGACAUCCACAGAAUCUAGCAGAGAUGCGAGAGUGCCUUCGGGAACUGUGAGACAGGUGCUGCAUGGCUGUCGUCAGCUCGUGUUGUGAAAUGUUGGGUUAAGUCCCGCAACGAGCGCAACCCUUAUCCUUUGUUGCCAGCGGUUUGGCCGGGAACUCAAAGGAGACUGCCGUUGAUAAAGCGGAGGAAGGUGGGGACGACGUCAAGUCAUCAUGGCCCUUACGACCAGGGCUACACACGUGCUACAAUGGCGUAUACAAAGGGAGGCGACCUCGCGAGAGCAAGCGGACCUCAUAAAGUACGUCUAAGUCCGGAUUGGAGUCUGCAACUCGACUCCAUGAAGUCGGAAUCGCUAGUAAUCGUGAAUCAGAAUGUCACGGUGAAUACGUUCCCGGGCCU